GUUGAACGCUGGCGGCGUGCCUAACACAUGCAAGUCGAGCGAAGCGGGGACGGGUGAGUAACAUGUGGAUAACCCCCCAUAAGACUGGGAAAACUUCGGGAAACCGGAGGCAAACCGGCAUCUUAUAGCUGGAUCCGCGCUGCAUUAGCUAGUUUGUAAGGUAACCGCUUACCAAGGCAACGAUGCAUAGCCGACCAGAGAGGGUGAUCGGCCACACUGGAACUGAGACACGGUCCAGACUCCUACGGGAGGCAGCAGUAGGGAAGCUUCCGCAAUGGGCGAAAGCCUGACGGAGCAACGCCGCGUGAGUGAUGAAGGUCGUCGGAUCGUAAAGCUCUGUUAUUAGGGAAGCGGUACCUAAUCAGAAAGCCACGGCUAACUACGUGCCAGCCGCCGCGGUAAUUC
rnacentral:rRNA from 1 species